rnacentral:rRNA from 1 species
GAUGAACGCUGGCGGCGUGCCUAAUACAUGCAAGUCGAACGCUGGAGAUCUAGCUUGCUAGAUCGAAGGAGUGGCGAACGGGUGAGUAAUACAUAAGCAACCUACCCACGAAGACUGGGAUAAUCUCUGGAAACGGGGACUAAUACCGGAUAGGUAAUCGGAAGGCAUCUUCUGGUUAUUAAAGGUUAAAAACACUGGUGGAUGGGCUUAUGGCGCAUUAGUUAGUUGGUGAGGUAACGGCCCACCAAGACGAUGAUGCGUAGCCGGCCUGAGAGGGUGAACGGCCACAUUGGGACUGAGAAACGGCCCAGACUCCUACGGGAGGCAGCAGUAGGGAAUUUUCGGCAAUGGGGGCAACCCUGACCGAGCAACGCCGCGUGAGUGAAGACGGCCUUCGGGUUGUAAAGCUCUGUUGUAAGGGAAGAACGGUAGAUAGAGAAUAUCUAAGUGACGGUACCUUACCAGAAAGCCACGGCUAACUACGUG